rnacentral:rRNA from 1 species
UCCGGUUGAUCCCGCCGGACCUGACUGCUAUCGGAUUGAUACUAAGCCAUGUGAGUCAUUGUAGCAAUACAAGGCAGACGGCUCAGUAACACGUAGCCAAUCUAACCUAUGGACGGGGAUAACCUCGGGAAACUGAGGAUAAACCCCGAUAGAUCAUUAUGCCUGGAACGGUUUAUGGUCCAAAUGAUUCGUCGCCGUAGGAUGAGACUGCGGCCUAUCAGCUGUUGGUGAGGUAAUGGCCCACCAAGGCUAUUACAGGUACGGGCUCUGAGAGGAGAAGCCCGGAGAUGGGUACUGAGACACGGACCCAGGCCCUAUGGGGCGCAGCAGGCGAGAAACCUUUGCAAUGUGCGCAAGCACGACAAGGUUAAUCCGAGUGAUUCCUGCUAAAGGAAUCUUUUGUUAGUCUUAAAAUCACUAUUGAAUAAGGGGUGGGCAAGUUCUGGUGUCAGCCGCCGCGGUAAAACCAGCACCUCAAGUGUCAGGAGGAUUAUUGGGCCUAAAGCAUCCGUAGCCUGCUCUGUAAGUUUCCGGUUAAAUCCAUUAGCUCAACUAAUGGCCUGCCGGAAAUACUGCAGAGCUAGGAAGUGGGAGAGGUAGACGGUACUCGGUAGGAAGGGGUAAAAUCCUUUGAUCUAUUGAUGACCACCUGUGGCGAAGGCGGUCUACCAGAACACGUUCGACGGUGAGGGAUGAAAGCUGGGGGAGCAAACCGGAUUAGAUACCCGGGUAGUCCCAGUGUAAACGAUGCAGACUCGGUGAUGCCCUGGCUUGUGGCCAGUGCAGUGCCGCAGGGAAGCCGUUAAGUUUGCCGCCUGGGAAGUACGUACGCAAGUAUGAAACUUAAAGGAAUUGGCGGGGGAGCACCACAAGGGGUGAAGCCUGCGGUUCAAUUGGAGUCAACGCCGGG